rnacentral:lncRNA from 1 species
CAGGUAUGGGGCCUUGGCAUGGACGCCCUUCCUCCACCUCCAGCAAGAGAAAGAGUAAGCCCUUGGGGAGGACGGAGGGGAAACCAGCUCAGCCCCAAAUCCUGGUCUCUGUCCAAGCCAGGCCCCAGGACAGAGGGGGACUGAUGGUGUCAGGGUGGGGGUGGUCUCAGCAGAAAGCAGAAACGGCAUCAGGCAGGGCCAUGUCAUCCUUCAGGUGCCCAGCAGGCACUCCCCACCCUAAACCUCAUCUCAGGGCUUCCGCCGCCCACUGCCUGCCCCUGGCCGAGGCUCUGAGCUGUGACGCUGAGCCCGGGGCUGGCUGGAGGGUUUGGGCUGCAGGGAGGGACUGGAGUGAGAAGGAGGGAGUCCAUCCUCCGUGCUCCCGGCCUGGGCCAGUGCUGCCUCCACUGCAUCCAGCUCCUCACUGCCUGCCUUCAGCUUGACCCGAAGCAGCGCUGCAUAGGUGCUGUAGCGGGAUUUCUGAGGUAGAGGGGCAGGGGCUGUGAGAGCCUCUUCUCUGCCUUCUGCCCACCCCACCAUCUGGACCAGGGAGGGCCGCCAGCAGGGCAGAAGAUGGCAGGUGCCCACCCAGGACUGUGAGAUGGUCCCAUGCGGGCUGGUGCCCCCUCUGGGCUCUCCUGGGACCAUCAUCUAUAACCUAAUGUGUCUUGAGCCUUUACUAGAGCUGGGGAAAUGGCACGCUUGACACAUGC